rnacentral:rRNA from 1 species
GAGUUUGAUCCUGGCUCAGAGCGAACGCUGGCGGCGUGCUUAACACAUGCAAGUCGAGUGCGCGUCUGUAGCAAUACAGAUGGCGCACGGCGCACAGGUGCGUAACACGUGGGCAAUCUGCCCUUCGAUGGGGAAUAACCUCGCGAAAGCGAGGCUAAUUCCGCAUAACAUUCCGAUGAUCUUGGUCAAUGGAUUCAAAGCCGUAAGGCGUCGAAGGAGGAGCCCGCGCACGAUUAGCUAGUUGGUGAGGUAACGGCGUCACCAAGGCUAUGAUCGUUAGCUGGUCUGAGAGGAUGGCCAGCCACACUGGAACUGAGACACGGUCCAGACUCCUACGGGAGGCAGCAGUGGGGAAUCUUGCACAAUGGGCGAAAGCCUGAUGCAGCGACGCCGCGUGGGGGAUGAAGCUUUUCGGAGUGUAAACCCCUUUCGACCCGGACGAAUGCCUCGCAAGAGGACUGACGGUACGGGUAUAAGAAG